UGGCACUGACAGUUGCUCGAGUAAUUGGGAUAAAUUGGUUUUUCGCAAAUCCAACACGUGUUUGUUUUAUCAUGAUGUUUUUUAUCUCGCUCAGUAAAUUCCAUGGGUAUGGGAUCAGCAAAUAUGCAAUUAAUAUCACGUUGUAAUUGUAACAUCUGCUCUACAAACUUAGUUGUGGCGUCUUUGCCCCUGUAAGUUUCUCCAUACAUAUUGUCACCAUCACAUCUAACGACUACCAACGAAUAACCGCUUGCUUUGUGAAUGUUUGUCUUUUGCGUGUUUUCCUUUUUAUCGUGCUGAUUUUUUUCUAGUACCGAUUCAAAGUCGGCGUAAAUGACAAAUGGUGCGUCCUGUGCAAAUCUGUGGUUUUCUCGGGAAAAACGAUUUUAGACGGAGGUUUGUCUAUUCCCUCACAAUCUUGUUUGUGUCUGUCUAGUUUUUCUUGCGUUCCGCAGUGUGACAAACAUCUUCGACAGAAAUAUUUCUUGUGUCGAUCUGCCGUUACGGUAUAAAAUAAUCUUGAAAAUAGUUUUAUCCAACAGUAGUGACUCUUAUCACCGUUGGAAAACAACAACAGAUCGAUAGCCUCAACGGUAGGAUCUGUGUUUUUAGAUAAUGCCAAUACAUGUAUGUUAUCUUGUUCAGUAUAACCAAAAACGUUUAUUGAUAGAUUAUUUUGUCUUUCUACCCUAUACAUUUGAUCCACUGGUGUGGGAAAGUCUAUAUUUUCGAAUUUCAAUCCAUUGUUCGUGUUGUAUAUCGUAGUUCUCUCUUCAUGGACCUGAUAUUUUGGGUUGUUUUCGAUUCGCUUUUUUACUUUGUCCGAAUAUUUACCAAGAGCGGCUCUCAAACACCAUCUCAAACAUUCGUUGUCUUUGUUUUGUACGUUGAUAAUCGCCUUUUUAUUUUUGAGAUAGUCGGGUAGCUCUACGUAAGAACUACCUUCUGCUUGAGCAUAACGGUUUACGUUAAUGUAAAACGCGAGUAUUUUAUCGACUACCCAACCUGAUCCUCGAUUUGUAUGACUCGCGUGUUUUUCUUUUACUUGAUCGAUCGCUUCUUUAAGAAUUUGCUUUACCCGACUCUCCCUCAAAAUAACCACAUUGUUACUGAUAAAGGUAAAUUCAGCAGUCACCCGUUCUCCAUCAGGUACAUUUUUAACGUAUCUCACUGUAAUCGCAAUCUGAACCUUUAUGUUAGUGAGUUCUCUCAGUUCUGAUACGACUUUGCUUUCGAUCUGUCGCUCGUGAGUGCGACAAAACAGUUCAACGUCAUUAUUAAACUGUCUCGGAAUCAGUUCCCAGUUUCGAAAGUUAUUUCUAAACCUUCUCGUACCUCUGAAGUCAGCCUCUUGAAAAUGUUCGGGAGAUUUAAAUCUCUUGAUCGCUGAGAAUAAAUCUUUUUUCAAAAAUCGACCAUUAUAACCUGUCGGUACGUAUUCUAGAUUUUGUUCGUCUACAAUCUGUUUGAGCUCAUGUAGUGUCUUUUUCCUCAAGUUUUUAAAUUUACUCUCUUCAACCCUUAUGGCUUGAAUAUAGUCUUGACGAGUAUAAUUUUCUCGUUCAUCGAUCGCUAUAUUAUUUUGAUCAACGUAACUCUUCAAUGCAGCUUUAACCCACCGCGAAUAGCCUUUAGGUGAUGGCUUUGAGUUGGUCUCCAUUUAAUAUAUAGAGAUAUUAUCUCUUCAAAUAUGGACUAGAUAAUAUUUUUUUGAUUUAAUUUUUUUUAAUAAAACCAAAAUGUUUAUCCACUGACUUCAGAAUUAGACUCGGGAAUAAAGAGGGCCAACUUUGAAUUACAAGUACAUGGGAAGUGAGUUGACACUAUUCGAGAGUGCAUGAGAAUGCAUAUGAAUAGAUUUUGAGCGGCCUUGACCGGUCAAAUCUAUCAUGCUUGAAAUGGGAAUUUUCCAGUACAAGUACACACAAUUGUGUAUUGUGUAAUAUUCUCAAAAUUCCGAAAACAACAACCAAAAAUAACCUACGUCAUUGUAACUAUGAAACACCGUGAUAAUCAUGACAAAUCAAACAGUUUACUAGAACUGGGGUUUUACACAACACACAAUUGUGCAAUGUGUUAUAGUCUCGAAUUGGAAUUUUCUAGAGAUUUCCAAAAUUGCAACCACAUAUGAAACACCGUGAUAAUCAUGACAAAUCAUUUUUUUGGUUAUAUAAGUAGACAAAUGAACAGCCCUGCCAUUCAACAGACAUUCUACCCAGCAGAUAGACGUUCAUCAGCCUAGCAGCAUCAACAACUGCAGUAAAAAUACAGAGCAGUAAUAUCUACACUUGUUUUAAUCAAGCAACCCCACUGAAAAGAUCCUAAAAGAGGAAUUGAGACACUACGUGAAAUCCAGCAAUCCAAACAAGUUGUCUGCACCAUCGAAAGAAACACUAUGGAGAUUCCAAGGCAGACCAUUGGUAUAACUCACGUUGAGGAGGGUCUAAACGAGGCAAACGGAAUCAUUUCCUCGUUCAGCGACUGGUGUGUUGUGGGAUUCGUUCAAUGCUUACAGGUAGUAGCACAGGCAAAGAACUGAUAUCGACUCCACAGUUUAAUGAUCACGUUGAAGCCCUUCAGCGCCGUUUUCGUAAUCCACCACCACUCCCCAUUUU